rnacentral:pre_miRNA from 1 species
AUGGUACUCCCUCCGUCCGAAAAUACUUGUCAUUGAAAUGGAUGUAUCUAGAUGUAUUUUAGUUCUAGACACAUCCAUUUUGAUGACAAGUAAUUCCAGACGGAGGGAGUAGUAU